rnacentral:lncRNA from 10 species
CAAGGACCCUGAAAUAAUAGGCUUGCUCCACCCACCUCUGCAAAGGACAUUGUAUUAAGCCUGUCCUGACCAGCACAGGCAGAGCAGUGAGUUAACCUAAGACCUUUGUCACAUUGUUAUGGCCAGUGGGUGUUAUAUGUGUUUUCAUAAAUAAAUGCUGCUCUUCAAGAAGUCUCCACCUUUCCUGAAAUCAUCUAAAACCUUGGGCAUCUCCUUGAUGACAAUUAUUGGUUCAUUUUCUCAUGCAUUCAACCCAUGUUUAGGUGCUCAUGUAAGUGCUUGAGGUGAAUAAUAAUAGGUCAGACACAGUUCCAGCAGUCAUCUAACUUAGAUUCUAGUAGGAAUGACAGAAAGAAGAAAUAAAAAAACAAGAAAAUUUCACAUGGUGAAAUGAAGAAAUGAACCAAGGUGCUGUGAUUGAGUGCAAGUUAGGGAUGGUAUAGUCACAGAGAGUGUCCCAGAGGAAGUGACACCUGAGCUGAGAAUGUAUGCUGGAGUGCCAGUCAUGUUACAGUCAUGGAAGCACAUUUCAAGCGAUGGGGAUGGCAGGUAUAAAGACUGUGUGACAAGAACAAGCUUGGGCAGGAAGCAGUCUGGUGUGAAAAAAUGGCGUUAAACUACAGGAAAGAUAAGAAUUGAAUCAGAGGAGUCAACAAGAACCAGCUCAUGCAAAGGCUUUCGAACCUAAACUGCAUCCCCAAACUUGCCUGGCCUUCCUUUGUUUCUCGUUUGUUUGUUUUGUUUUUGGAGUGAGUCACAUAUAUCACUCCACUUUCAGGACAAUAAGAAAUACCACUGUGAUAUAAGCAGUGAUGUUCUGGGGCAUGAAUGGAUUGCUUAAUGUUGACUGAUGUGUAAAAUUUACUGUUGCUACACCAAGGGACACAUACACUUAGGUAUAUGUAUCUGUCAGCUGCAACAAGGGAGUAUAAAGGAUGUCCACUGUAGUGUGCAGCAGAGUACAACUUACAGUGAUAAUAAGUAAGAGAGGCCCCUUCCCCGUUCUGCCUGCCUUGAUUGAGGGUGUGCGGCCUGGAGCUGUGGCUAACAUCUUAUACUCAAACCUGGGAAGAGGAAGGCCAUCUCAGAGACUCUAACUUCCAUGCCAGAUAUCCUUGAGUCCAUGAGCCAUGGUUCAUUAGCCACUUACCUCCAGACUUUUUGUUAUGUGAGAGGUGAAAAUCUGACUUGUUUAAAAAUAAUGUGAUAAGUUAGAGGCUUAGAAUAGAGUUAAGCUUGUGAAAAGAAGAGGGUCUACUGAAAAUUCGAAAACUUUGUCUCAUGAGUUUAUAAGAGAACUCAGAGCAGCAAACAGUUCUACCCAUGAGUGACACAGUGCCAAGGUGGCAAGGGAAAUUGAAUAACAGUAACAGAGAGAGGCAUGGUGUACUGGAGUGAUAAUCAAGAGGUAAUUAUUAACUGUCUAUUUUAGCAUGGUCUUGAGUUUUUUAUUCUUCUCAAGAAUGCAAUCACUUUUUCAGGAACCGAAAGAAUUAAGAAACUUUUUUAAAAAGGUGAGAGACACUGAUAUAUCCAGUAAACAAAGAGGAAAGACCCUUCUCAAGUAGCAAAAUUUUCACCUGUGCCUGGCAUCACAACACCUGUUAUUGAUCACCAAGAUCCUGCCAUUUGGAAUCUCAGUCCAGACAUGAAGGACAAGUUAUUUAGCCUGCCCACUCCUAAAUGGCAUCAGUGUCUGAUCCUGGUUCAGGUUCCCUGGCUACAUUAUCGGCAUGUUCCUUCUAGUUUCCAAAUCUUACUCUCUUUCUCUAGUUACCUCUCAGGUUUCAGAUUUUUAUUAAGUAACAUAGAAAGGUUGGCCAAAGAUUAUGAGUUUCAAAUAAGUUUGUGUGUGUAGGGGGUUGUAUAAGUAGAAGCUGGCUUUCUUCAAGUUAAAUUUUGUGUAGAAACCCACUAGGUAAAAGAGAGGAAAGUGGGAAUGUCACAGUUGAAACAGGGGUGGCUCCAGUGCCACAGGCUCCAUCUGCCUUGCUCUAUGCACCGUUCCUGAAGACAGUGCAUUUGGGAUGCAGACAAACACCUGAUCCAGAGGGCUUUAAAUGGAGAAAUAAAAAUUCUCAGACAACACCCACAAGAGCAAUGAUGUGGAAACACACCUGGAAAUGUGCAGGUGGGGAAGGUAUCUGGUUCAACAUGGAUUAAGUGCUAUUUAUUAAGAGUCCAGGUCUUUAGUGUUCAUUACCCUAACUUUACUCUCAUUAGAGAAUGGGGAUUAAGAGAUGGAGUUUGGUGCCAGAAGUCCUGUGUCUAGCUCCACACUUGCCAGGUAUGCCACAUUUGGCUACAGGACCCUCUUUGAGCAUUAGUUCCAUAUCUGUAAGAUGGGGAUGAUCCUCAAGGAUAUACAGAGAAUUUAAAUGAUUUGUCCAACGUCAUUCAUGAGCAUGGGCCUUGAGUUGCAAACCCUAAGCCUUCUGACUUAUUAAGUCCAGUACUCUUUUUUUCUUGUUAAUAAGAAUACCUUGCUGGAGAUUUACAAAUAAUUUGGAAAAAAAAUGAAGAAAGGAAGAAAAGAAGGGAAAAGUACAGAAGGAAAGAAAGCAAAGAAGGAAAGAAGUGAGGCAGGAAGAAAGGAAGGGAGGGAGGGAGGAAGAAAGGAAGGAAGGGAGGGAAGGAGGAAGAAAGGAAAAGAGGGAGGAAGAAAGGAAGGGAGGGGGGAAGGAAGAAAAAAAGGCAGAUUUUGCAACUAUACAUAACUUAACAUUCAUGCACCAUGUAAAAAUAAUGUGGACUUUGUUCAAAAUUUCUACCACUAGUCAUUCACUGAAUUAAAGCAGUCAUUUCCUUCCUUUUCCUGAUAAGAUCAUUUUUCUGAUUUUGACAAACUUUUAUGAUUAACAACAGGUAGGUACUGAGAAAUUGAGCAAUUCACAAUAGAAUGGAUAUGGCAGCAGCUUCAAAAUUUACAAAAUAGUUGAUUAUGAUCACAUGCUACACCCUCGACUUGCUGAUGGGGCAGCGUGGAUUCAACCAGGAAUGUCCUCCUUCCUGAAUGGAUGAUGAUGGGGCAAACACAGCGUUCCAGUCACUAGACAUGUACCUCCUAUGCAGGUGGGCACACAAGACAGCUGACUAAGGGAAGAAAUGCAUGAGAAAUUUGCAAAGAGGGAAAGCCAAGAGCACCUGUAGUGUUCUGGAGGUAGCUGCACACUGACAUCCCUUCACACCCAGUGGCCUCUUGUGAAAGAGAAGGCAAUGCAAUGCCGUCGGAGACAAAGCCCAGCUGAAGAGAGGCAGUGCACUUGCUGAUGGAUACUAAAUGAAAAGCAGGCAGAAAUCAGCAAUGCAUCCAGCUUCUGUUGAGGGAGAUUCAGUGGAAUGAUUUUUAUAUUUUCAUGAAGAAAUUACAGUUGAAUAUUAAAACCUGGUAUUUCAGUUUAUCUGGUCUGACUCCCAUCUAACUAACCAACAUAGCCAUGGAUUUUGUAAAACUCACUUAGCAAAUCAUCUUAAUUGGUACCAAAAAAGUGAUGGCUAUGGAAAUAUUGGCAUUUCUAUGUGCAUAACUGAUGUUUUUAUGAGGAUAAGAGGGAGAGAAGAAUCACAUUUCAAAGAAGCUUCUACUGAAAUAAACUAACCAGAAGAACUAAUUGUGGCAUACUUAACAGCUUUGAGCUUUAUGUGUACACUACCUAUGUUUCCUGUUCAGCAAGUGAAUGUCCCCAGGCCGGUAGGGGCAAUGUGAAGAUGAAUCUUAUAUCUCCAAUUUCUCGAAGAACAUUUAUUCAUCUUCCUGGAAUUCACUCAUUGCCAGUUCUUUUAGAAAUACUGACACAGUUAAUAGUGUCUAAUGUCGUGGAUGACUGCCUUCCACCGAUGUCGUGACUUCCCACCCAAGAACCAAUGACUUCUUUCUCUGUGAUUCAGCUCUCCACUGACCCUCAUGGGCAAGAGUGGGGUUUCAGCAAUUAUUCUUUCAACCUCUAUUGAUUAAUCACACGAUAUAAGCCAGACACAGUUCUGGGCAGCAGGAUACAAUAGUGAACAAGACAACCCCAAAUCCCUGCUCUUGUGGAACUGACAUUUUCUCAUGGGGUGUGGGGGUUGGGGAAGAAUGAGAGAUGUUAAAUGCAAAACCAAAAUAAAAGAAAUUUUAAGAUCAUGUGAUAGGGAGUGGCUGGCUGGUCAGGGAUAGCCUCUCCAGGACUGGGACAUUCAUGGGAGUUGACAUGUGAAUUAUGAGAAGAAGCCGACAAUGCCAAGAUCACAUGGCAACACGUUUCAUGCAAAAGAAACAGCCAGCAUGAAGCCUGUGAGCUGGGAACAAGACCGGCUCAGGUCAAGGGACAGACAAAAAGGCCAACAAGGCUGAAAAAGAAUAAGGAAGAGGAGAGGGGUGUGAGGUUCAGCAGGAAAGAUCUGAAGGACUGGGUCAGACAGGGUUCUUCAGGACAUGGAAAAGAAUUUGAAUUUUUUAAAUAAAUGCAAUGAGAAGACACUGGAGAAUUUUAAUCAUGAGGGUAACAUAGUCUGUUUUGCAUUUGAAAACUAACAUUGUGACUGUUAGGCAGCAAAUGAAGUUGCCCUCCCCCAGUCCAUCCCUGGCCGUGGUUGAUCGAAACAUAAGUGACCAUCUUACCCGGUGUGUUUUUUGUCACUAUGGAAUUUGCAUUUAGGAACAAAGGGUCUGUGUUUAUUCAAGUGGUCUCUUCAUGGGGCCGAUACUGUAACAUACAUAGCUGGGGGUCUGAGGCAGCCACGUUGUGCCAAGGGCACUGAGGAGAAAAUGGCGGCCUGCUGGAUUCUUCUUUCUUCUGAGGCUCAGGUGACUGCUUGUCCUCAUAUCACUCCACCAGACUGUCAGGAGCUAAGCGGAGCUCGAGAGAGCUGAGCUGCCAGGUGUCAGGGUAGCUGAUUAAGACAACAAGCCAAGAUGAACAGUGAAGGCUUUAAUCAUUUACUGCAAUAGUAUGCACAAGAGACUAAACCAGAGAAAGUGCCGACUCCCCAUCAUUCCAUUUUCCCCAGCGCACCAGCCCUCAUUGAGGGUCUGGAUCAGCACUGAAGCCAAGGGAUUGUCUCACAGCUGAGGGACCCCUGAACAAGAGACUCCCGCCAUCAAAUGGAUCUGGAGCUGGCGGGGGGUGGGGAGAAGGAAGGGCUAUGAGUGUGAAAGUACUGAGCACUGAGUCAGAGUGGAGAAAAACAUCUCCAAGCCUCCCCGCUUCUUCUCCUUGAUAAGGUGACCCCUGCAGAGGUGUCUAAGAUAAGCCUCUGCAGAAAGCCUGUGAUAAAGAGGCCUCCAAAGAGAGGCACCUGGGCCAGGAAUGUGGAUGUGCAUAAGAGCAAGGCUGGCUGGGGGGACUCAGUGCUUGACUGCAACUCCCCUCAGAGACUCAAUGUGUCGGCUGUGCCCCAAGUCUGCAGUGGGGAGGGCAGUUUCUCCCCACGAGGUCUGACAGGUAAAGCCUGGUAUUAAUAAUUGCUUAUGGCCAGAUGUGAAAGUUCACACAUAGGUUUAGGGCUACGAACUGGUACUCCAAACAGACUAUGCUAGGUGCUUACUAUAAACCCAUCUACAGUAGAGCUUGAGUAACUUCUGCUGCUUGAAACUGGCACUCUAACUAAUGAAAUUUAAAAUGAACCCCAAAAUGAGUUAGAGUCAAAUAAUGACAGGAUGUGGGAAAUGAUCACAACAUAGGUAUAGACUCCAGAAAAAUGGGCACCACUACCCAUAAGAAGACGCCCAGAGAUAUCUUGCAGACUAUUUAAAUUGAGAGCAAGAGUUUGAGCCUGUACAGUAUUUCUGGCAAUCCAAAGAGGCAAACCCAGGGGCAGGAGCUAGAGAACUUGAAAUAUAACCAGAGUGGCCUAUCUCUGAGCUUACCUGUUGGCUUACUCUUUGCCAGAAAUUUCUGUUGUGCAACAAGAAUGAUAACAGUUGGGAAGAGAAGAAAGGUGCAAGAGAAGCCCUUGACUAUCUCACCAAACCCAUCCCCUCCCUCUGCUUCCUCCUUCACUCUGCUUUGGCCCCACUGGUCUGCUCCCUGUUGCCCGACAAGUUCACACCCCAGGUCCCUUGUAUAUGCUGUUCCCUUUGCCUGAAUUGCUCUUCCCUUCAGCCCUUGCUAGACUCCUUCAUUCAAGCCUCGGCUGAAACGUCACCAUUUUCAAGAGUGACCUGGCCAUUCCAUCCCAAAUGGCAGUUCUAUCACUUUUUAUCCCCUAACAGUGGUUUCUAUUUUUCUUUAUAAUACUUAUCACAACCUGAUAUUAUGAUUGAUUGCUUUGUUAGUUCUUGUGUCUUCCUGUGCCCACACUAGAAUGUAAGCUCCACGAAGUUGAGAGCUGUUUAGUUCAUAAAUCACUGCAUCCUCAGAGCCUAGAAUAGCACCCAGGAGUUAUUAGUUACUCCAUAAAUAUUAAUUAUAUGAAUGGAUGAAGGAAGAAAUGAAAGAAGGAAGAAAGAAGGAAGAAGGGAAGGCAAGGGAGGGGAAGGGAGGGGAGGAGAGGGAAGGCAAGGGAAGGGAAGGGGACAGGAGGGGAGGGGAGGGGAAGGGGAGGAGAGGGAAGGGAAGGGAAGGGGGAGGAAGGAAGGAAGGAAAGAAGGAAGGAAGGGAGAAAGAAAAAGAUGAGAAAGGGGAAAUAAAAUAUCUUAGAUUCUAAUUAGAGGAGCAAAAAUGAAUUAUAAAAGCCAAACAUGUAAAAUAGAAAAAUCUCUGAGUGUUUUACAUUUAAAGUUAAUCUUAGUUUGUUUUAUUCAUUCGUUUAUUCCUCUAAUAAAUAUUGUCUGAACAUCACAUUCUAGGGUUAUCAGAGAAGGCUGGAUCUUAAAGGUGAAGACCAUAAAGAAAGGACAGUGAGAUCAAAAAGAAAAGAUCUGUGUAGAAACAGUAAAAAAAAAAAACCUCACACAUCAGUGUGUCUGAGCAAAGCCAGGUUGAGAAAUAUUCUUGCUUAACUAUCAAACCUAACAAUAUAUUUUUCAGAUGUGAGAGAUGGAGUAAGAGAAAACCAUACCACAAUGGCUGCUGCCAGGCAGGAGUACGUCUUGGGCUGCUACUGUGGCUUCAUCACGUCCCCAUCCUGUGCUUAGAGGAGACCUCAUGGUUACAAGGUGGCCUCCCUCACUUCUAGGAGGACAUGAUAUCUAAAAUAUUUCACAAAUGGUACAGAUCUGGAGGCCCCUGCUCUUCCAGGAGUUUUUCCCUUUAGAAUCACAGGGAGAUCCAGGGGGCUUGGGCAAGGCACUAAGACAAAGAGGGACACUUGGGGAAUUCAGGAAAGUUGCUAUUUACCAACUGAUGGGAAAGUCUUUCAGCAUUUUCACAACUGCACCACCGUAUCUGUGGUAGCAGCUGAAUAUCCGUCCCAUUUCUAGAAUUCAGGUGGAAGGAGGAGGGAAGAAGAAGGGUGUGGGUUUCUCUUUUAGCAGGGCAUUGCAUUUAUUUCCUAAGAACAUUCUCCCAAGAAACUAAUACCCAAAUCUCACUGGGCCAAAGUAGGCCACGCGACAACUACUAACUGCAAAGGGGCAUGCAUCUGUGUUUUCCAAGCCUCUGCAAUCCAGAGAGGCAAGGAAAAGGGAGUUGUGACUGGCUUUUGGAAAGCCACUUCCCAGUUUCUGCUACACCUUAUCAUUAUGGUUUGGGAAGGGCACGAUUAAAGGCCAGCUCAUCUAUCCUAGAGGUGGGCAAAUUGAGAACGAGGAUCUCAGAAAGCAAAAAGCCCAACUUAAAGUAAUGCAUUAUAUUUUGAACACUGAAUGUUUGACAAUACAUUUCACGGCUCAUUUCCUGCUACUUGUGAAUGCUAGUAAACACUCAGAGAGCGAAUUCACAUUUUUCAUGUCAAAUAUCCUUAUGGUUCUCCCCUCCCCCAGCUUGUCAACAGUUAAACAGGCCCCUGUGAGGACAGUCUGUUCACACUAUAAUCUUCUGCGACACUAAACCUUAAUCUGUCUUAAAAAUUUCUAUUGUUUUUCACUAAAAGGUUAUUCCAGAAAUAUUUUAUAGAGCACAUUCAUUUUCUUGGCUGAGAAUGAAUUGCAAAAUCAGAGACACUCUAACCAAUACUGAAUCUCCCUUCCCAGUCCAAAUUUAAGAAUUUCAUGCGGAUUACUCAUUGCCAUCUAUCUAGCUAAUUCAAUGUCAUUAUUUUUCUCUGGUCCAGGCAGAAUUUACCCUUCCCUGAAAUGAGCUUAUCCCAUAAGAUAUUAGUGGAAGGAGAACAAUGUUGGUGAAGUUAGAGUCCCUGAAGUCCACACAUCCACUCUCAAGCCUGGAAUUAAGGAUCUGUCAAAGUCUUCCAUUAGAAGAGAAAUUUUUUUUUUUUUUUGAGACGGAGUCUCGCUCUGUUGCCCAGGCUGGAGUGCAGUGGCAUGACCUUGGCUCACUGCAACCUCUGCCUCCCGAGUAGCUGGGACUACAGGCACCCGCCAUCAUGCCCUGCUAAUUUUUGUAUGUUUAGUAGAGUCAGAGUUUCACCAUGUUGGCUAGGCUGCCCACCUCAGCUUCCCAAAAUGGUGGGAGUACAGGCAUGAGCUACCGCACCCAGCCUGUUUUUUUUUUUUUUUUAAAUGAUUGCAACUUGCAAAUUAAUAAAACAGAGAAUCAGGAAAGAGUUUGACUUAGCAACUAGUGACCUUCCCUAAAUACUUGGUUUUGCCUUUGAUUUCAUUCCCGCACUCCAACCUUACCCUGUUCUUAGCCUAAAUCUCACUUACUAUACAGAUUACAAUUUAUCUGCCACUUCCUUUCAUAGGCUUUCUCUGUCCCAAAGACUGAGUAAGGAACUUUGUCUGAACCUCCUCAUCGUCUACUCUCAUUUCUAACAUCCUAGCAAGUCUACAUCAUGGUGCAUAUGCAGCACUGUCCAAUGGAAAUGGAUGCAAGCCAUAUGUGUAAUUUAAGAGUCUCUAGUAGCCAUUUAAAAAAAGUAAAAAUAAACAAGUAAAACUAAUUUUAACAUAUUUUCUUUAAUGGAAUAUGUCCAAAGUAAUAUCAUUUUGAUAUCUAAUCAAUAUGAAAAAUACUAAUGGCAUAUUUUACAUCCCUUCAGUAGUUCCAGUGAAUGCUUUAUAUUUACAUAUCCCUCAAUUCAUUUCCUUCUUCCCUUCCUUCCUUCCUUCUUCCCUUCCCUUCCCUUUCCCUUUCUUCCUUCCUUCCUUGCCUCCCUCCCUCCCCCUC